rnacentral:rRNA from 1 species
GAUGAACGCUGGCGGCGUGCCUAAUACAUGCAAGUCGAGCGAAGCGGGGACGGGUGAGUAACACGUGGAUAACCUCCUAUAAGACUGGGCUAACUUCGGGAAACCGGAGCUAAACCCGAUAUUUCUAGAUGGAUCCGCGCUGGAUGAGCUCGUUGGUAAGGUAACGGCUUACCAAGGCAACGAGGCAUAGCCGACCUGAGAGGGUGUUCGGCCACACUUGAACUGUGACACGGUCCAGACUCCCACGGGAGUCAGCAUUAGGGAAUCUUCCGUAAUGGGCGAAAUCCUUACGGAUCCACGCCGCGUGAGUUAUGAAGUUUUUCGGAUCGUAAAACUCUAUUAUUAGGGAAGCGGUACCUAAGCAGAAAGCCACGGCUAACUACGUGCCAGCAGCCGCGGUAAUUC